rnacentral:rRNA from 1 species
AUUGAACGCUGGCGGCAGGCCUAACACAUGCAAGUCGAGCGGAUGAAGGGAGCUUGCUCCUGUAUUCAGCGGCGGACGGGUGAGUAAUUCCUAGGAAUCUGCCUGGUAGUUGGGGAUAACGUCCGGAAACGGGCGCUAAUACCGCAUACGUCCUUAUGGAGAAAGUGGUGGAUCUUCGGACCUCACGCUAUCAGAUGAGCCUAGGUCGGAUUAGCUAGUUGGUGGGGUAAAGGCCUACCAAGGCGACGAUCCGUAACUGGUCUGAGAGGAUGAUCAGUCACACUGGAACUGAGACACGGUCCAGACUCCUACGGGAGGCAGCAGUGGGGAAUAUUGGACAAUGGGCGAAAGCCUGAUCCAGCCAUGCCGCGUGUGUGAAGAAGGUCUUCGGAUUGUAAAGCACUUUAAGUUGGGAGGAAGGGAAGUAAGUUAAUACCUUGCUGUUUUGACGUUACCAACAGAAUAAGCACCGGCUAACUUCGUG